UAAAGAUUCAUCGCUGAUAGAUAGGCAUGCGUUCCAUUAGGCAGUUGGCGGGGUAACGGCCCACCAAACCGACGAUGGAUAGGGGUUCUGAGAGGAAGGUCCCCCACAUUGGUACUGAGACACGGACCAAACUCCUACGGGAGGCAGCAGUGAGGAAUAUUGGUCAAUGGGCGUAAGCCUGAACCAGCCAAGUCGCGUGAGGGAUGAAGGUUCUAUGGAUCGUAAACCUCUUUUAUAAGGGAAUAAAGUGUGGGACGUGUCCUAUUUUGUAUGUACCUUAUGAAUAAGGAUCGGCUAACUCCGUGCCAGCAGCCGCGGUAAUACGGAGGAUCCGAGCGUUAUCCGGAUUUAUUGGGUUUAAAGGGUGCGUAGGCGGCCUUUUAAGUCAGCGGUGAAAGUCUGUGGCUCAACCAUAGAAUUGCCGUUGAAACUGGGGGGCUUGAGUAUGUUUGAGGCAGGCGGAAUGCGUGGUGUAGCGGUGAAAUGCUUAGAUAUCACGCAGAACCCCGAUUGCGAAGGCAGCCUGCCAAGCCAUGACUGACGCUGGUGCACGAAAGCGUGGGGAUCAAACAGGAUUAGAUACCCUGGUAGUCCACGCAGUAAACGAUGAUCACUAGCUGUUUGCGAUACAGUGUAA
rnacentral:rRNA from 1 species